UGGUGUUUUGAGCCCUCACCGGCGCCUUCCAGGCAGCCGCUGCCUGGAAGGCGCCGGAAGGUGGUCCCGCCCCCCAAAACUCUGAUCCAAUCAAUGCGCUACCCCCACUUGGAGCGGAGCGCAUAUUCAAAUCCACUUUUUGGAGCGCAUUGCAUAUUCAAACCCGCGCAUUUGGAGCCAAACCCACUUGGAGCGCAUUUGGAGCGCAUUUAACCCACUUGGUUCAACAAUUUCAAAGGUACGUAGCUAUUUUUGGGCCGGCUAAUGUUGUGGUAAUGUUAUUUCAACCUGCUAGCUAGCAGAUAGAUGAUGCUAAUCUUAGCUGUGGUAAUGUCAUUUCUACCUGCUAGCGAGCUAAAUCUGGUUAAAACAUUAGGUAACAAAGUAAGAUUAAUUACUGCAGAUUAAUCACUGUAUUUGAGUGAUUGUUAAUGGUUAGUGGUUAUCUUUCAAAUGAUGCCUGUGAGGCACUUGACGUUGAGACUGGUUGACUUCCAGGCUGCUUUGGAAUAAGGAUACCUCUGAGGCAGCCACCAGUUUUGGAUAACUCUGAGGCAUCAUAGGUAGUGUUGACUACUUUAUAUCAAUAAAUAACUACUUUAAAGACUUUAAAGACUACUUUAUAUCAAUAAAGAACUUCAGAAAGCCAGCUCCAAACUAUUACACCCCAGUGUCAAUAAGUGUUUCAUUGUCACAUUGGUAUGUGCAUCAAAUCUGAAUUUAAUACUGUGUUCGUGUCAUGAUAUGUCUUUCCCAUUUUUGUUAAGGCGAAGCCAAGGACCUGUGCUCCUCCGUCGGUGCUCUGGCUGCCAGGAGCAUCGAAUUUAAAGAAGUGGCCAUGCUGCCGGCAUCAGACCCCACUGUGGCCACAGGGAGAGCCACGGAGUUCAAACAACAGCUCCAGCACCUCGCCAACCAGGUGAGGUCAAAUGAGCAAUUUGACCUCCUCACGCACACCUUGGGGCCAGGAAUGGUAGAGGUGGUGGUGGAUAUUUUUUAAAAGUGUGUUGACACACACAUUGAAAAUAUUAACAAUUAGCAAUUUGUUGUUUGUUGUGUUCAUUAAUUAAAUAUCUUCAUGUUCUACA